rnacentral:ncRNA from 2 species
CAUCUCUGUUAGGGGUGUUCUUUUUUAUAAGAGCUGAGAUUAAACCCUUGAACCUGAUAUGCUGUAAUUGGCAUCGUAGGGAAACGGAAUGAAUAGAAG